UUUGUUGUUUCCUCCCUUUUUAGUUGCUGUAGGCCGGUGGUGGCGUUGCUGGUGACCUGGUGGUGGCAUCCUCCCUUGUCUUGUCUUGCUGUGUCCCUUGGAGUGGGUUUUUCUUCACUGAGAGUGUGUCUGCCACGUGUGCCCGGUGACUUAAGUUUGUUUCUUUAUUUUGGUGGAUUCCUCCCCUGCACUAGCCUUCGUCCAUCCACUUCGGCCUCAGCCCUGAUUAGUUGCUGUAGGCCGGUGGUGGCGUUGCUGGUGACCUGGUGGUGGCAUCCUCCCUUGUCUUGUCUUGCUGUGUCCCUUGGAGUGGGUUUUUCUUCACUGAGAGUGUGUCUGCCACGUGUGCCCGGUGACUUAAGUUUGUUUCUUUAUUUUGGUGGAUUCCUCCCCUGCACUAGCCUUCGUCCAUCCACUUCGGCCUCAGCCCUGAUUAGGUUUGUCUUUUGUGUGAAUGAGUUAAUUGAUUUUUAAGAAUAUAUUAAAAUAAAAUGCAUUUUAAAACUUUGAACCACGUCUCUCGCCUUUAAGUAACUACGAACCUGUGUGCCUUGCGUAAGAAAAUAAUUCUCUGGGUGAAAUUCCCAGGGUGGCGUUGUUGAGCUUUUAGUAUUUUUCCUUUCUUUUCACCUCCUCCUUGCCACAGUUAGAUUAAAUUCAUUACAAUCAAGUUUAGAAAUAUGAAAUCCAGGAAAAUAACAUGAGUGAAACUGGUUUACAGUUAACCCUAAUAUCUGAAGGGGGUGCACUUUCUCCAGUUUUACACUUGAGAUUCAUAACUACCAAUUAUUCAAUUAUUCAUUAAAAAAAAUCCCUUAAAUGCAAAUGUGAACACUUGAUGUGCCAAUUUUAACAUUUUAGGUGGUACGUAUCAGGUAUGAGGGUUAAGCAUUAUUUUCUGACUCUUUUUAAUGCUGAAUGUAAAAACAGAAUAUCAUAACUGAUUAACACCGCACUUAAAACUAUCAAAUAGACUUACCUGAACAGUCUCUGAGUCUUCCAGAGUACUCCCAGUCAGAGUCUUGAAGAUUGCGUCACUGCUGGUGCUCUCAUCCAGGAAAGGCAUGGAUUUGAAGAGGGGGUCCAGUGCAGUGCUCAGAUGGAGAAACUGGAUCAGUGUGUGAUCUGUAUCAGGGUACCUGUCCUUGAAGUCACGUGAAAUGGCAGUUUUGACCUCUUUCACUGCUGCUGAGUCAGACAGUGCAUUUACAUGACACUCAAGAAAACCGAAUUACUAUGUUAGUCUGACUAUGAUGGGAUCUUUAAGAUGCACGUAUAUACCUUAGUCAGACUAAAAUCAGACCGGAUUGGAUUUCUCAUAGUCGAAUUAAAGCACCCAGAUUAUUCGAUUGAUAGUCGCAUUACUCCUGCAUGUAUACGUUCCAGCGGAUCGGAUUUUGCGUUCUGCGCAGGCGCAAGAUUUUUCCCUGGGGCCGUGAGCCGGAAGUAGACGGACGGCAGCGGCGUCGCCUUUCCGCCGUAAUCACCGCAAGAAUCACUGCGGUGAUUACGGCAAGUUUGUGUAAUUAACAUGUACACCAUAUACGAAAUGUACAAAGACGUAGCUUCGUCUCGCUCUUCGUACGCCAUCUUUCUUGAAUGCCGAGGCAGCUGGUGACA
ensembl:lncRNA